GCGCAUGCUCAGAGACUACGACCGCUGGGCUACAGGGAGCCUGCGGGAGGCCGGCACACCCCGACCCGCCUCUGCCUUACUCAGCGCUGUUCCGCGUCCCAGGUUUUUCUCACUUUCUUUUCUUGCCAGUUUUUGUUUCCGCGCGUGCUCGUCGCGGGGUCUACGCCGCGCUCCAUGGCAAGAGCUGCGGAGCGAAGGAACUGGACGACUCUCCGGCUAUGCGCUGCCGUUAUUUUACUUGACCUGACUGUCUGUAAAGGAUUUGUAGAAGAUCUAAAUGAAUCAUUUAAAGAUAAUCGAAAAGAUGACAUUUGGCUUGUUGAUUUUUAUGCACCCUGGUGUGGCCAUUGUAAAAAACUGGAACCAAUUUGGAAUGAGGUUGGGCUUGAAAUGAAAAGUAUUGGUUCUCCAGUUAAAGUUGGAAAGAUGGAUGCUACUUCCUAUUCUAGCAUUGCUUCAGAGUUUGGAGUUCGAGGUUAUCCAACAAUUAAGCUAUUAAAGGGGGACUUGGCAUAUAAUUACAGAGGACCACGGACUAAAGAGGAUAUAAUUGAGUUUGCUCACAGAGUGUCUGGGGCUCUAAUUCGGCCUCUUCCAAGUCAACAAAUGUUCGACCAUGUACAGAAGCGGCACCAUGUAUUUUUUGUUUAUAUUGGUGGAGAAUCACCCUUGAAAGAGAAAUACAUAGAUGCUGCUUCAGAGUUAAUUGUGUAUACAUACUUCUUUUCUGCACCAGAAGAUGUGAUUCCUGAGUAUGUGACACUGAAAGAAAUUCCUGCUGUGCUUGUUUUCAAAGAUGACACUUAUUUUGUUUAUGAUGAGUAUGAAGAUGGCGAUCUGUCCUCAUGGAUCAGCAGGGAGCGGUUUCAGAACUACCUUACUAUGGAUGGCUUCCUUUUAUAUGAACUUGGAGAGACAGGAAAGCUUGUGGCCAUUGCAAUUAUUGAUGAGAAAAACACAUCACUUGAGCAUACCAGAUUAAAGUCGAUUAUUCAGGAGGUUGCUAGAGAUUUCAGAGACCAUUUCCAUAGAGAUUUUCAGUUUGGCCAUAUGGAUGGAAAUGACUAUAUAAACACCUUGCUUAUGGAUGAAUUGACAGUCCCAACCAUAGUCGUACUGAAUACUUCAAACCAACAGUACUUUUUGCUGGAUAGAUAUAUUAAGGAUGCCAAUGACAUGGUCCAGUUCAUUAACAGCAUUUUGGAUGGUACAGUACCUGCCCAAGGAGGUGAUAGUAUUUUGCAGAGAUUGAAAAGAAUAAUAUUUGAUGCCAAAUCUACAAUUGUGUCUAUAUUCAAGAGCUCUCCAAUUAUGGGCUGCUUUCUCUUCGGCCUGCCACUGGGUGUCAUCAGUAUCAUGUGCUAUGGAAUCUAUACAGCUGACACAGAUGGAGGCUAUAUAGAAGAGCGAUAUGAAGUGUCCAAAAGCGAAAUGGAAAACCAGGAGCAAGUAGAAGAGAACAAAGAGCAGGAGUCCAGCGGUGGAGGGUCUCUAGUGUCUCCUGUGCAAGAGCCCAAGGAUGUAUUAGAAAAGAAGAAAGAUUGAGACUUCACAGAUAAAAAAUAUUUGAUAGGACUUCAAAUUAUUAAAGAAUAUUUAUUGAAUUUAGAGAUUUAAUCAUGAUCUAUUUACAGAAGAGAACAUGUUCUUUGUAUUUUGCUAAUGACAACUGCAUGAAUUAAAGUAAUCCUUCCAUAAGUGGAAAGAUGUUUGGAACAAAGAAAUGAAGAGUUUGUCCAGAACAAAGCCAGAUCAUUGUAUCAGCUACCUUCUAGAUGCCCAUUUUGUGCCCACUCCUCUGUGUGCAUCUUUUAUGACAAACUUGGACACAAUAUUAACUUGACCAUUAAUGUGGAAGAUGUGUGUUUUGCAAAGAGAAAUAGUACUUUCAACUACUAUAUCAAUUCUCCUAUAUUUUGGAUAAAAUUUAUAUAAACAGAUUAAGUCUUUAAAAUUUAGACAUUUUAAGAGAAACUCAUAACUUUUCCAUGUAUCAAAUUUAAGAUUUGAGUUUAGAAGUAGUGAUUUUAUAUAUAGCAUAGUGAUUUUAUUUUACUAGUUAUUUUUAAAGGAGAAAUGUUACUUUUUUACUUAUACUCCAUUGCAUUAUUAUGAUAUUGGCAUAUGGUCCCAUGAAGUGGGGGAAGAAUCUUAAAGUUGACCUUCACAAAAUGACCAAUGUAUGUGGGAGUGGUGGCUUCAGUCCCUGUUGUGGAGCACAGUAUCCACCAGGAAGGAGAGGCCCUCUUAGUACAUCUUGCUUUUAGCCAAAGCAGCCUAAUGUUUUGUUUUGUUUUCAUUUUUAUUGUAUAGCCUGACAUUACUUCUAAUAUUUCUAUUAAGGCAUUCAGAAGUAAUAGAAAUUAUGUUUUUAAGAUAUGUAAACUAAUAAUUUAAAAUUUACUGCCACAUCUCUAUUGUGGGAGGCCGUAACAGGUCAGUGAUAUAAUCAACAUGUUAAACUCAGAUGUUAUGAACAGAGAGAGAGAGUUCCCUUCUCUAAUUAGCCUCUCACCUUUGCUUCCUUGAGAAUCAUGACCUCUCAUCUUUCUUCAGAAUGCAGUCGUGCCUAAGAGUAGUUAUUUUUUGAUAAUAUGUUUAUUACAGAUCUGUUUGUUAAUUUUGAGGCCUUCAUUUUAGCUAAUUUCAGAAUUUUUAUUAGGCAAUGUUUAGGUCCUAUUCUUUGAAUACUUUAGUGUUUGCUUAAAGGAUCCACUGAGCAUUUAUAGACAUGGUUUGUAGUUUUAACACUGCAGUUGCUUGGGGCUUCUGCUUUGGUUACCAGGGGAGUUUCUGGUCUCUGAUGCAAUACUAAUCAACACUGAACUGAAAUUUGUAUAUCUGUAGAGCUAGAGAAUUACUAAUCAUAAUCUCUGUUCAAUUUUUUUCGUAUUCAAAAGAACCCAUUUUUAAUAUUUAAUCACCCAUUGUUAACUUUAUUGCUAAUGGUAUAAAUAUGUAGUUAUAGGGAAUUUCAGGGAAAAAAAAGGGUAUUCUCAAAUGGAAACUGGAGAUAAGCACUGUUAAAAGUUACUGUGACCCAAGAGCUAGCCAAUGAGUUCAUGUCAGAGACAGCCCCUGUUCCCUUUACUAAGGAACCCACUUGGAGAUUGAGCUGCCAUGGGCUACAUCUGUGUAGGGGUUCUAGGUUAUCUUCAUGUAUGGUCCUUGGUUGGAGUAUCAGUCUCAGAAAAGAACCCUGGGCCCAUAUUUUUUGGUUCUGUUGCUCUCCUUGUGGAAGCCCUGUCACUUUCAGGUCUUUCAUCUCCCCCACCUUCUUUCAUAGGAUUCCCUGCACUCUGCCCAAAGUUUGGCUUUGAGUCUCAGCAUCUGUUUUGAUACCCUGCUGGGUAGAGUCUUUCAGAGGCCGUCUGUGGUGGCUCCUGUCCCGUUCCCUGUUUUUUCCCUCUUCCGAUAUCUAUCCCAUUUUCUGAAUGAGGAAUGAUCAUCUUACCCAGGGUCCUCCUUGCUUAGCUUCUUUAAAUGUACAGAUUUUAGUAUGUUUGGGGGAGGCAGUCUUAACAGGCCUCAGAGGAAGACAGUGCAGCCAGACCUGAUGAGACCUGAUAGGCUAGUGUUAGAUGGAAGGAGAGGAGGACCUCUCCUAUCAGUGGACUGGGGGAGGGCCAUGGGAGAAGAGGGAAGGGGCUACAGCUGGGAUACAAAGUGAAUAAAUUGUAAUACAAAUUGCUGUGACAAGUAAAUUCUUCCAAAGAAUAAAGAUGACUCUUUGUGAAGAUUCAUGGUAGUGUUCCCAAUUGUCAAGCCUUUUUUUCAGGAUAAAAGAUCUGAAUUACAUAUAGAUUCCUCAUUUAUCAUACUAUAUAGUAAAGAAGAGACAUGAGGAAAUAGAAAGUACCACUAAUAUAUUUUACUGUUGUUCAUCACUAUCAAAAAUUAAUUAUGUGUAUUUUGUCUUGUCAGUCAUCCCUUGUAAAUAAGUUCUCAGUAGGAAAAAAGAAUAAAGCACAGCUUUGCAUCACCAAACAGAAGUGCAAAGCAUGCUGGAGGCAAGAAGCAGUUCUAUGCAAGUUCAAGGCCAGCCUGCCUGGCCUACUGAGUGAGUUCCAGGACAGCCAGGGCUACACAGAGAAACCCUGUCUCAGGAAAUUAAUAAUAUUUUCAUGAUGUUUCAUGAUGAAAUGAACAGGAAAAAAAAUCACUCAACUAUUCUUAUGCAGAAAUUGGUAAGUGUGAAAUGUUAAGACCUAAGUGGCGGGACUGAGUUUGCCAUUUUAUUUUUACAAAUAUAUUUUUCCUGAAUGUGUCUGAGUCCCAAUAAUGAGCAGCAAUAAUAAUAAUAAUAAUAAUAGGUAAUUUUCUAGUUUGGACUAAGCUAUAAAGGUUUUUGAAAAUCUGUAUUACUGCUAACGUGUAGAAUUGUUAUACUCUGCCUUAUGACACCAAUUAGAAACCUUUGUUUUUCUAAUUAAUUAAAAAUAUCAUAACUGCUAUCUUUAAUAUGUGUUUUUCAGAAGUUUGCCACAUGAUUAAUCCUCUAACAAAAUCAGAAGCUACAGCUAAUAUUCCACAAAAUACUUUCCUUUUAUUAAGACAUAGCUUAUUAAUAAUUACAGAAAUUUUAUAAUUUAAAUGUGCUUGGAAGUGAAUUGUGGCAUAAUUCUUUAUAGCCAAAACCCCAAUAUCCUUUUGUCUAAUUUUAAUUUUAUAAAAUCUGAUAUGUUUUUAAAUAUUUUUUAAAGGAUACCUCAACUUUUCUACAAAAUUUAAGAACUGGAUUUGAACUUUGAAUUAAUAAAAUAUGAUUCUGAAUAUUAUAUCCUGACCUCUCACUUUUGUUAUCAUUGAACAGAGAAUUUAAAGCCUUUGGAUUUUUUGGUGGGGGCACUUAUUUGUAUUUGAUGUUUUAAUUAUUUCGACAUAAAUGAAGCGCAUGCAUCAUGAAAACAAGUUUUAUAUAAAUGUUAAUUUUUAUAUUUCUUACAUCAGAGAGGUAUGUUUUCAUGAAGUGGUGGGAAAAAGAGUAACAAGUCAGCACAAAAUAUCAACUUGCAUUUGAUUGCCAGGUUAUGAGCAGAGACAGACUGCUCAGCUACAGGGAGGUACCCUGUGUUGGGUGAGUAGCUGGGGCAUUGUCUGGAUGCAACUCUGGCUUAUGUUCUUGCUCCACUCUUGUGAAGUUUAGAAAAGCCAGUUAACCUCUUCCACUUCUGAAUUACCCAUGCCACCUAUCUCUAGAUUAUGAAGGUUAGCUGAACCCAUGGUACAUAGCCACAAUUCAUUAACUGACAAUUACUGUUUAACCCUAAAACUAAGUACAAAUAUUUAGGUUGUUACUUGUGAACAUUCUGGGGUUUUUUUGUGCUUUUUAAAUGAAAAUGAUCACACACAAAAAAAUGUAACUAGCUAGUUAUUGAUUAACGUGUGAAUAUCUUAAUUAGAUUUAUGUGUGAACUUUAGGCAGAGUUAGAUGCAGGUGUGUCACUCAGUUACUUCUCCAGCACUAUGCCUGCCUGCCUGCCACCAUGCUCCCCAUCAUGAUGGUGAUGUCUUUUGAAGCUGUAAGCAAGCCCCUGAUUAAAUACUUUCUUUUAUAAAAGUUGA